CGAGAGCUCCGGCCUGGAGGACCGGUUCUAGACAGGAUCCAGAGUCUAAUUUCCUGCGGGACACCCUACAGCUCGCUUACCUCAGUGGGCCUCGGUUUCCCCAUCUGUCAGCCGAGCUCGUCACACCGGAGCAUAACGCCGAAAAGGCGCGAACAGGGAGCAGAGGGAAAGAACUUUCCAAAAUGAGAAGGAGACGGAUAGUCCUGGACGCUUUUAGACUUCUCUCCUUUCUCCCACCAGGAGUUAGUAUGAAUGACAGUGUUGUGGGGGUAAAGCAGAUUCCUGGGCUCUGGCCUGCCUGUAACUGCUGCAUUUCUCACACACUCUCUCUGACAAGCUGAGGUUUCUACACCUGGGCUGGGACAGCGAAGGCCUUGGAGAAGCCGGAGGUGCUCAGUGGUUCCUCAUCUGUUCCCUAAAGUUAUCCCUGGUGUCUGAACUUCCUAGGUCCCCUGAGCUCCAGUUACUACCUCUUGCUGCUUCCAGGGUCAGAAACCAAGGGUGAUGAGUGAUGGGAAGGGUCAUGGGACUUAAAGAAAGCCAGUUAAGAGGAGAUCCUCUUAAGCUCACUGAGGCAAGAAGACUCCGAGCGUGAAAACCACCAGGCACCAACAACUGCAACCUACUCAUUGCGCAGAUGGGGAAAUUGAGUUUCAGAGAGUAAUUCUUCCAAGCUCACACAACUAAUAAUUUGAAUGGAAGCCUUACUUCUUCAGACACUUACCUUUCCACCCUGCACUUUGCCUCUUGGGCCAGCUACGUGGUUGUGGUAGUUUAAACAUGUUGGCAAGUUCUUUACCACUUCUCUUUUCAAAAGAUGUUGGCUAAUUCCCCUCCCUUCCAGUUGGGCUGGACUUAGCGACUGGCUUCUAACGGAAGAACACGGUGGAGGUGAGGCUAUAUAGCUCAUAAGCUGAAGUCAUAGAAAGGAGACAUUCCUUCUGUCUCUUUCUUACUUCCUCAGGACAGCCACCCUUGAACCUAGCCACCAUGCUGUGAGGAAGCCCACACCACAUGGAGAGAGGACAGGAGCUACUGUGGCUGACAUCUCCAGCUAGGCUCUCAGCUCACAACCAGCAUCACUCAUCCGAUAAGUGGUGAGCUGAGAUUAGUCCACCACCAGCCUUUGAGUCUUGCAGCCGAGGUCGCAGACAUGGAGCCGAGAGACGCCAACGUCGCUGUGCCCUGUCUGAAUUUCUCUCCCACAGAAAAUGAGAGAUAAGAAGCGAUCGUUGUUGUUUUAAGCCAAUCAGCCCAUUAGAACUGGCCACAGUCAUCAGUGAAGUUGUGAAUGGUACCAGUUCAAGUGCAUUGCGGCUGGAGUUGUUCAGGAUGGGGACACACUUCAAGUUGAAGGUGGAGCCUUGUCUUCAAAACACAGGUCUGUGCUUCUCAGCAUUUCAUUUGGAGCUCUAAAUUUGAGGGGAUCCAGCACGCAGCCCUCCUGAGCCCCUGUGGGAGUCCCAGCCAGACAAGAGCUGACCCAAAGCCCUGAGGACACAGAUGGGAGCUGGAGUGACCGCCAACAGCAUGCAUUCCUAAAGUGGUCUGAUGGAGUGUGGGGCCGUAGCGAGGGAGUGGAGUCCCAGACAGGAGGCAUCUCAUCAUGGAGACAAUCUGUUGUCUGUCUAU